rnacentral:rRNA from 1 species
GAUGAACGCUAGCGGCAGGCCUAACACAUGCAAGUCGAGGGGCAUCGCGGUGCAGCAAUGCACUGGCGGCGACCGGCGUACGGGUGCGUAACGCGUAUGCAACCUGCCCCGCACCGGGGGAUAGCCCGCCGAAAGGCGGAUUAAUACCCCAUGGUCCCGGGGGCCCGCAUGGGCAUCCGGGUAAAGCCUUGGCGGUGCGGGAUGGGCAUGCGUGCCAUUAGCUGGCUGGUGGGGUAACGGCCCACCAGGGCAACGAUGGCUAGGGGGUCUGAGAGGAUGGUCCCCCACACUGGUACUGAGACACGGACCAGACUCCUACGGGAGGCAGCAGUGAGGAAUAUUGGUCAAUGGGCGGAAGCCUGAACCAGCCAUGCCGCGUGCAGGAUGACGGCCCUACGGGUUGUAAACUGCUUUUCCCCGGGGCGAAUAACCCCCUCGCGAGGGGGGAUGCCGGUACCGGGGGAAUAAGGAUCGGCUAACUCCGUG